rnacentral:rRNA from 1 species
GAUGGACGCUGGCGGCGUGCCUAAUACAUGCAAGUCGAGCGAACGGACGAGAAGCUUGCUUCUCUGAUGUUAGCGGCGGACGGGUGAGUAACACGUGGAUAACCUACCUAUAAGACUGGGAUAACUUCGGGAAACCGGAGCUAAUACCGGAUGAUAUUUUGAACCGCAUGGUUCAAAAGUGAAAGACGGUCUUGCUGUCACUUAUAGAUGGAUCCGCGCUGCAUUAGCUAGUUGGUAAGGUAACGGCUUACCAAGGCAACGAUGCAUAGCCGGCCUGAGAGGGUGAUCGGCCACACUGGAACUGAGACACGGUCCAGACUCCUACGGGAGGCAGCAGUAGGGAAUCUUCCGCAAUGGGCGAAAGCCUGACGGAGCAACGCCGCGUGAGUGAUGAAGGUCUUCGGAUCGUAAAACUCUGUUAUUAGGGAAGAACAUAUGUGUAAGUAACUGUGCACAUCUUGACGGUACCUAAUCAGAAAGCCACGGCUAACUACGUG